rnacentral:miRNA from 2 species
UAUUGCACUUUUCACGGCCG